GAAGGUUCUAGAGAGAGAGUACGAAGAGGAAAAGACGGUCCUUCUCCCUCUCCCUCACCCUCUCCCUCUCCGCUGGUCCGGCACUCCCAAUUCCCUUUCGUGAGUUUCCUCUCAAGGAGGUAGCUCCGCUUCCAAACGUGGCCUAGCCGGUGGUAGUACUGCUUCGACUUUAGGAACUGAUCCAGAUCGGACUUCACCUUGUUCUUCAGCUCCGCGUCCAUCGCCACUCACCGGCGUCGGAGUUCACGUACAGCUUGAUGUCCUUUUUUCUUCGUUGCUCAAUCUCGUCAGCGACAGAGAGAAUAUGCUAGAAGUACUGCCGGAAGACUCUGCGCUUGUCUUUCUUCUUUAAUCGAAGAACGAGCGCGUCGCCGGAGGCGUUGGUCCAGGAGAGCCUGGCGCCAAGGAAGGUGUCAUGAACGGUGUGGUUAUGGUCGAGGUGGAGGAAGAUGUCGGAGGGAUUGGGGUAAUCAGAAUCUUCAACAGAGGGAAGAGAAUCGAGGAGUUGUUUGCUAGGCUAAAAUCGCCAACCACCUCUCAAGAAUCAAAGAAGAACUUGGGGUGAAUUUGCUCGAUUUGUUGCUGAUAAAAAGAGCCUCAAAAGCCUCAAGAUGGAAGAUUGUUCUAACCUUGGAGAGUUAUGAUGAUAAAGGGCCUGCCAUAGAUGCUGUUGUCUGGUAUGAUGGAGAGGUUUGGAGGGUUGCUCUUGACACACACAGUCUUGAUGAUGAUCCAGAUUGUGGGAAGCUUGCUAACUUUAUACCCUUAACCAAUUAUAGUGCUCUUGGUCCAUGGCAUGGAGUGAUUGCAAAUGAUGCUUGUGUGCGUCUUUGCCUUCAUGCUUGGGCAAUGCAGUGCAUGGAAGCUCCUAUGUUUUUGGAAAAUGAAUGUGCUUUAUUGAGGGAUGC